UGGGAACUUUCCUGCCAGCGUUUCAGAAGAGUGGAGAACAGGCCUACGUGAAUGCUCGAACGUCUGAGAACAGGCCUACGUGAAUGCUCGCACGUCUGUGCAAUCCUGCCUGGCUGGUAGCUCCAAUAGUGCUUACACUCUUCAUCUCCUGACGGGAUUGAUUUGCUCUGUUUUAACCUCCAACCACUGGAGGAAAGAGGGGGUGUGCUACAGUGAGCUUUAACAUCACAGCCUCACACAGCCAAGAGACAAAGAGCUUCAGAAAGGACGACACCACCAAAACCCAAAGCAACAACUACAGAAACUCAGCACUAUGCUCUGAAUCCCCUAUUCCAAGCCUCUGGCGUCCGCUCAAUGUGGCCCUUUCUGCAGUUAUGUGAUUUUCGCUCUGCACAGUCCACAAAGGAACGAUAGCUUGCAUACGUGGCUGCUUAAACAUCCUAGAAACUCCUGGCCUUCUUGAUUCUUGGGAGCAUGGGAGGGCCAAUUAAAAGAGUCAACCAAUCUGA
rnacentral:lncRNA from 1 species